rnacentral:snRNA from 1 species
AUCGCUUCUCGGCCUUUUGGCUAAGAUCAAGUGUAGAAAUAGUGCUUUUUAUAUAGUUCUAGAUGCUCAUUUAAAAUGAGCAACAUAAAAAAAAAAUAAAU